rnacentral:rRNA from 1 species
UACAGAGGUCUCAACCGUUGUUCGGAUUCAUUGGGCGUAAAGGGUGCGUAGGCGGCGGGGUAAGUCAGGUGUGAAAUCUCGGGGCUCAACCCCGAAACUGCACUUGAUACUGCCUCGCUUGAGUACUGGAGAGGAGACUGGAAUUUACGGUGUAGCAGUGAAAUGCGUAGAUAUCGCUUGGAACGCCGAAGGUGAAAACAGGCUGCUGGGGUUGUGUCGACGCUGAGACACGAAAGCCAGGGGAGCAAACGGG